GACGAACGCUGGCGGCGUGCUUAACACAUGCAAGUCGAACGGGCCUUGUCCCCUUUUUUUUGGGGGUGGGGUUAGUGGCGAACGGGUGAGUAACACGUGAGUAACCUGCCCCUCACUUCUGGAUAACCGCUUGAAAGGGUGGCUAAUACGGGGUGUUCUGGCCUGCUCGCAUGGGUGGGUUUGGAAAGAUUCGACCGGUUUUGGUUGUUUUGGUGGGGGAUGGGCUCGCGGCCUAUCAGCUUGUUGGUGGGGUGAUGGCCUGCCAAGGCUUUGACGGGUAGCCGGCCUGAGAGGGUGGGCGGUCACACUGGGACUGAGACACGGCCCAGACUCCUACGGGAGGCAGCAGUGGGGAAUAUUGCACAAGGGGCGCAAGCCUGAUGCAGCGACGCCGCGUGAGGGAUGGAGGCCUUCGGGUUGUGAACCUCUUUCGCCAGUGAAGAAGGUCCUGCUCUUUGUGGUGGGGUUGACGGUAGCUGGGUUAAUGAAGCGCCGGCUAACUACGUG
rnacentral:rRNA from 1 species